GUACCUACGGGGGGCAGCAGUGAGGAAUAUUGGUCAAUGGUCGGGAGACUGAACCAGCCAAGCCGCGUGAGUGAGGAAGUAUUUCGGUAUGUAAAGCUCUAUCAGCAGGGAAGAAAAUGACGGUACCUGACUAAGAAGCCCCGGCUAACUACGUGCCAGCAGCCGCGGUAAUACGUAGGGGGCAAGCGUUAUCCGGAUUUACUGGGUGUAAAGGGAGCGUAGACGGAGGAGCAAGUCUGAUGUGAAAAUCCGGGGCCCAACCCCGGAACUGCAUUGGAAACUGUUUAUCUAGAGUGUCGGAGAGG
rnacentral:rRNA from 1 species